AACGCUAGCUACAGGCUUAACACAUGCAAGUCGAGGGGAAACGACAUCGAAAGCUUGCUUUUGAUGGGCGUCGACCGGCGCACGGGUGAGUAACGCGUAUCCAACCCGCCCAUCACUUGGGGAUAACCUUGCGAAAGUAAGACUAAUACCCAAUGAUAUCUCUAGAAGACAUCUGAAAGAGAUUAAAGAUUUAUCGGUGAUGGAUGGGGAUGCGUCUGAUUAGCUUGUUGGCGGGGUAACGGCCCACCAAGGCAACGAUCAGUAGGGGUUCUGAGAGGAAGGUCCCCCACAUUGGAACUGAGACACGGUCCAAACUCCUACGGGAGGCAGCAGUGAGGAAUAUUGGUCAAUGGGCGAGAGCCUGAACCAGCCAAGUAGCGUGCAGGAAGACGGCCCUAUGGGUUGUAAACUGCUUUUAUAAGGGAAUAAAGUUAGUCUCGUGAGACUUUUUGCAUGUACCUUAUGAAUAAGGACCGGCUAAUUCCGUGCCAGCAGCCGCGGUAAUACGGAAGGUCCGGGCGUUAUCCGGAUUUAUUGGGUUUAAAGGGAGCGUAGGCCGGAGAUUAAGCGUGUUGUGAAAUGUAGACGCUCAACGUCUGCACUGCAGCGCGAACUGGUUUCCUUGAGUACGCGCAAAGUGGGCGGAAUUCGUGGUGUAGCGGUGAAAUGCUUAGAUAUCACGAAGAACUCCGAUUG
rnacentral:rRNA from 1 species